ACUAAAUAGUUCUGUAACAAAACAAUUCGCCAGAGAACUACUAGCAACAGCUUAAAACUCAAAGGACUUGGCGGUGCUUUAUAUCCCUCUAGAGGAGCCUGUUCUAUAAUCGAUAAACCCCGAUAAACCUCACCAUCCCUUGCUAAUACAGUCUAUAUACCGCCAUCUUCAGCAAAACAAA
rnacentral:rRNA from 1 species